rnacentral:rRNA from 1 species
UACAGAGGUCUCAAGCGUUGUUCGGAUUCAUUGGGCGUAAAGGGUGCGUAGGCGGCGCGGUAAGUCGGGUGUGAAAUCUCGGAGCUUAACUCCGAAACUGCAUUCGAUACUGCCGUGCUUGAGGACUGGAGAGGAGACUGGAAUUUACGGUGUAGCGGUGAAAUGCGUAGAUAAUCGUAAGGAAGACCAGUGGCGAAGGCGGGUCUCUGGACAGGUCCUGACGCUGAGGCACGAAGGUCAGGGGAGCAAACGGG